rnacentral:rRNA from 1 species
UACGUAGGCAGCGAGCGUUGUUCGGAGUUACUGGGCGUAAAGGGCGCGUAGGCGGUUGGAUAAGUCUUGUGUGAAAUCUUCGGGCUCAACUCGAAGUCUGCACGAGAAACUAUCUGGCUUGAGUGUGGGAGAGGUGAGUGGAAUUCCUGGUGUAGCGGUGAAAUGCGUAGAUAUCAGGAGGAACGCCUGUGGCGAAAGCGGCUCACUGGACCACAACUGACGCUGAGGCGCGAAAGCUAGGGGAGCAAACAGG